GUAUUACAAUUAUCGCCCUGUUUAGCUGCCAGUGUUUAACUCCAUUUCCUAUUUUACAGUCUAUGACUUAAGUUUAAAUGAACAGUAAAAUGGCUAUAUAUUAGAGUAGUUCAAAAAUAAUACCAAUUUAAGGAACUUUCAUCUGUUAGUAAACUACAACUCCCAUGAACCUUUGCUAUCAGUCUGCUUUGUUUUUGACCAUCACAAGUUUCAUAGGAGUGUUACUUCGUUAAUGUUUUGAAGGCUAGUAAUAAUUACACAUCCCUAGAGUGGUUCAUCACCAUGUCAUGUUAUUCAAUCUUCCUGUGAUUACCAG